rnacentral:rRNA from 1 species
GACGGGGGGGGCAAGUGUUCUUCGGAAUUACUGGGCGUAAAGCGCACGUAGGCGGCUUUGUAAGUAAGGGGUGAAAGCCCAGAGCUCAACUCUGGAAUUGCCUUUUAGACUGCAUCGCUUGAAUCCAGGAGGGGUGAGUGGAAUUCCGAGUGUAGAGGUGAAAUUCGUAGAUAUUCGGAAGAACACCAGUGGCGAAGGCGGCUCACUGGACUGGUAUUGACGCUGAGGUGCGAAAGCGUGGGGAGCAAACAGG